rnacentral:tRNA from 1 species
GCUCCUGUAGCUCAGUGGUCAGAGCCCCCGCCUGUCGAGCGGGUAGCCGCCGGUUCGAGUCCGGCCAGAAGCG